CGCACGUCACUGGACGGCACUGCAGAAGCAGGCGAGUUCGCGAGUGUAUCGAUUUUGCGAUCGUGUCUCUCGCGACUAGUGUGUCCGUUUCCUUUAGUUUUUAGUGGCCGUGCUCGUCGUACAUGGAUGAAAUCGUGAAUGGGAUUACCCGCUAGGUUAAUUGCACCGUACAUCCGCUGACUCGCAACGCCUCGUCACCCAUCAGCAUGACCAAGGAUAGAUUAGCAGCUUUAGUCGCGGCCCAGUCGGACGACGAUGACGUGGCGGACGAAGUGUCCGUCAAUGUCGGCGGGCCGGAUGACUUCAUGACGGAGUUUUUUGCGGAGGUGGAGGAGAUACGUGAAAUGAUAGAUAGAAUCCAGACGAACGUCGAGGAUGUCAAGAAGAAACACAGCGCCAUUUUAUCGGCGCCACAAACGGACGAGAAGGUCAAAAUGGAGUUGGAAGACUUGAUGUCCGACAUCAAGAAAACUGCUAACAAAGUCAGGGCUAAGUUAAAGGUGAUAGAACAGAAUAUCGAGCAGGAAGAGCACACGAACAAAUCAUCGGCGGAUCUGAGGAUACGCAAGACUCAACAUUCAACAUUGUCUAGGAAGUUCGUAGAGGUGAUGUCGGAAUACAAUCGAACACAAACCGAUUAUAGAGAACGGUGUAAGGGAAGAAUACAACGACAGCUGGAGAUCACGGGGAGGACGACCACUAACGACGAACUCGAAGAAAUGCUGGAGCAAGGAAAUCCAGCAGUCUUUACGCAAGGGAUCAUCAUGGAAACGCAACAAGCAAAACAAACCCUUGCGGACAUCGAGGCACGUCACGCUGAUAUUAUAAAACUCGAAAAUUCGAUCAGGGAAUUGCAUGACAUGUUUAUGGACAUGGCUAUGCUAGUAGAAAGUCAGGGUGAGAUGAUAGAUCGUAUAGAAUAUCACGUGGAACAUGCGGUCGACUAUGUCCAAACGGCCACGCAGGACACCAAAAAAGCACUCAAGUAUCAAAGCAAAGCUCGACGGUACAGUCGAUGUAUGUACAUAUGUGUACAUAUAUACACGCGCAUUAUAUAAUAUAUUAUAUUAUAUAUAUACAUAUAUACUAUAUACUGUCUGUGUGUAUCUCUAACUGUAUCGCUCUAUCCUGUCGAACAUGGGUGUGCUAAUUGUGCCUCUGUCCAUGAAACGCUCUGUCUAUACUCUCAUACUAUAUAUUAACUUUACGUACUAACCUGCGCUGUCAAACUAAUUGCGUUCUAUACGUGAUUGUUUAGUGCGUGCGUACAUAUACAUAUAUAUAUAUAUCUAUGUAUAUAAAUAUAUUUAUAUGUAUAUACACACAUAAACACGCGUUUAUAAUUACUCGUUGUCUUCAUUCACUUGUACGAAAAUUUUGUUUUGUAUUAAUCAACCAACACGACGUCUACAUAUCCCCUUACGAACUGGGAUAAAUCUCUACGUGUCCACUGUAAUUGUGUGUUUUUAUCAUAUUCAUAUACAUAUAUACAUACAUAUAUGUAAGAACAACAUAUAGUAUACGUUAGUUACGCGAUAUAGUUACGUGUGUCGUCGCGAUAUUCGGUUACGUAUUUUGUGCAUAUACUUACACAUACGGAUAUUGUUGGUGUGUCAUUCGGAUGUUACAUAUAUAUGUCGAUAGUAUGUGUGUAUAUGCAUGAAUUAUACAUGCAAACGAUAUUAUAUCAUCCCACUCACGAAGGUGGAGAAGUUUGUUUACAAUUGAUUACGUCGUCGAAACGCGAUUCAUCUCGCGUUGGAUCCGAUUAUUUUGGAUGCGUUCUCCGUAAAAAGGUGAUCGAAACGAAGAUUUCACCGUUAGUCUGAAUCGAGCCGUCGAAGACGAAGAGAACGUCAAAGCAAGCCCCUAAGGUAAAAACGUUUUAACGAAAAGAUUAUUUUGAACGUCGUCAGAACACAUCUAUUCACUUCUUUACGAACUGGAAGAAGUUACAUUAAUACGAGAUAGUACUUCUUGUCCGACGACGUUCAUACAUCAAGAAUGUGCAGCAACAGACGAACGAAAAACGAGAGCAAAAAGGAAUCCCUCUAUGAAAAUGAUCUUCAUCAUAAUCUGCGUCUUAAUAUUGGCCGUCAUAUUAAUAUGCAUAAUAAUAGGAUCCCUUCCGAGGACCUAAAGGGCCCGGGGGUGCAGAAAUAAAUGGGGUAGGGAGGGAUGGAUCGUUCGACAAAAAAGAGAAAGAAGGGAUAAGAAAGAGAGAAAAAGAAAGAGGAAGAGAGAGAAUCAAGAAGAACAAAAAAGUAUAUAUAUAUAUAUACUUGCAUAAAAUAUCGAACAUCGGCGCGUAUAUCGUGAUGACAUCCAAUCUCGUUCAUUUCGUGAGGAAACGUAGCGUAUGAAAAGAGAAAAAGAGAGAAACAGAAAAAGAAAGAAAGAAAGAAAGAAAGAGAGAGAGAAAGAAAUCACGAAUAUCUUUUGUGCUGUGCGAUCCAAGUUAUCAAAAUUCAAGAAGGAAAAAAAAAUGGAAAAAAAAUAAAGUAACUGCUAAUGAAUAGAAGCUCAUAGAAAGAAAAAAUAGAAAUAAUAAUAAUAAUUAAUAAUAAUAAUAAUAAUAAUAAUAAUAAUAAUAAUAAUAAUAAUAAUAAUAAUAAUAAUAAUAAAUAACAAUAAUAAUUAAUAAUAAUAAUAAUUAAUAAUUAAUAAUAACAAUGAUAAUAAUAAUAAUAAUAAUAAUACUAAUAAUUGCGACACACACGUACACUUACACGCUCUAAACGUAUGGACGAAAAUCAUCAUGAAACUAACGGAGCAUCGCGUCGAUUUAAUAACACAAUAAAUAAUGUGUCUUCGUGUCCUCAAAAUAACAAGCAAAAAAAUUAACAAACGCUCUUAUUAAUCCCUAACCGAUGGCUAAUUAAUGCAAUAAUCCAUUAAUUGCAACUGCUCGCCUCGCUAAUAAUACGUAGUAAGUACGUUGUUAAAAAUGCUGAAAAAAAAUGUGUGUGUUUCGUAGCACGCUCUUCUCGAGAUUCAUUUAUUAAUUUGUUGUCUUUUUUAACAAUAUCGUCGUUAUUGUCAUAGUAGAUAAAAUUUUUUGGAAAAUACUCAUUCAACUUUUUGAUUUACUUUUCUUUUGAUUAUGAAUUUUGUUUCUACUCGAGAAGAGGGUCACUCCUAAUCUAACAAGACACCUGUCUUUUUCUCUCUACGUGUACAUUUCCGUUUCUAUGGCUUGUUGUCCUUGUUCAGAGGCUUUUCGAACAUUCCAAAAAAUGAAAAUCCAUUGAAUAACGUAGACGUUAUUCUGUUCACAGAAAUUGAUCCUGAUCGUAAUCUGCUUGACGAUAGCAGUCAUCAUUUUGAUUAUUAUUUUGGUACUUAGUUUAAGUUGAAAUGCGACCCGUGAUACGAGGACUUUGGCUCUAAUUAGACACACAUACAUACAUGCAUAUACAUAUGUAUAACAGCGACGAAUAGAAACGCGUACAGUAAUUAGUUACUGCUGGGGAGAACGCGUACAUGUCCUUAAGUUCUCUCGCUUUCUUCUCAAUAUUCUAUUUCAUGGGAAAGGAUCACCUUAACAACCGAUUCCGAUUCACCGUUAUUUUUUUUCUUUUUCUUUUUUCCUUCCUUCCUUUUUUUUUUCUUUGUUAUUCUCGAAGACAAUUUUUCGAUUUUGAGUAUAUUUCAUCUGAUAAGAUAGAGAAGAAAGGAGAAGGAAACAAUCUCUUUCAUUUAACGCCUUCCCCCUUCGAAAUUCGAAUAGAGAUAAUGAAAAAAAGAAAAGGAAGAAAGGAAAGAAAGGAAAUUAUAGAGUAAUAAAAAAUGUGUCCGCGCACGCGCGCCUAAUUCGUCGAUAAUUCAUUUCGAAUUUCUAUGUUCCUUUUGUAACAUUUGCUGCAAUGUGCGUUCAAUAGUUCAUUUUGUCGAAAGAAAAAACAGUUAAAUGCAACAGAGUUAUAUGAAAAAGAAAAAAGAAGGGGGAAGGAAGGAACGGAGAGAUAGCUUAGAAUAGAUUAGUCCACUAUGCCACUCGAAGUUGCCACUCCAAAGACAGCAUUUAAACGAAACUCAGGAUUUUUUCUUACUCAACAUAAAUAAAACAAUAACACAUAUUGAUUCGAUGAAUUUCGAUAUAUGUAUAUAUAUAUAUUAUAUAUGUAUACGUAUAUAUACAAUAUAAACAAUCCUCCUACAUCUCCUAGAAUCGAACUUUUGAAAAUCGCAAAGAGAAAGAGAUGAAGAGGAGAGGGAGGAAGAAAAGAUUAAAAAGAGAUUUGGAAAAAACAAAAAAAAAACAAAUAAGCAAACAAACAAACACAUAGCUACUGCUAUCCAAAUGCACAAUAAAGUACGUCGGAAUAGUUGUUAUUUAUUUCGACGCGUUCCUUCGUGUUCGAACGUAUUUUCACUGCCCUUUUCUGUUCAUUUUUAUUAUCGUUUUCCACGCAUAUCACCGUUCCUUGAUAGACGAGUAAGAUAGAACAUAAAAGACUUUCUAGAUAAAAAAAAACGAUUAAUAAGUAUUAUUCAUUGUAUAGAAGAAGAUGAAGAUGAAGAAGAAGAAGAAAGAUAAUAAAAAGAACAAAGUAUAACACAAAUAUACGAAAGUGGAUUUUCGAUCGAAUACAAUUUCGUACUAUACAAAGAACUUGACAAUUUAGUCACGUCUCACUGGUCGAAGCGUAUUAAUAAUAUUAAUUAAUUAACGCGAAUUCACAAGAUUCAUCUUGCCGAUGUCACUUUUCUUUUUCAUUCUUUUUUUCAUAUUAAUCUCUUUCAAACUUUGUUUUUUCCCUCGAGCGAGAAAUUGAAUACGAUUAGUGAGUUCGUUGUUUGAUUUAAUUUAAUGACCACUUAAUUAUUUAAUUAAUUAAUUAAUAUAUAUAUAUAUAUUGUAUAUACAUAUACACAUAAAUAGCGAUAAGUCAUUUUCUCGUCAAAAUAGACGGACAAUUUUUGUUCGGAUCUGUAAAUAAUUGCAAUUUGUAUAGAAAAAAACCAGAGAGAGAGAGAGAGAGAGAGAGAGAGAGAAAUAUUGAGAGAUAGAAAAAACAAUAUGUUUCUUAUUUUCUCUUUCACGUUUAAACGCUCAUCGUCAAUUAACGUUCACGUUAAUUAGGUAAUUAAAAAAGACAAAUAACGUACAGCAAGUUACAGACAAACGAACGAACGCGUGUUAAUGUACAAGGAGAUCAAAGAAGGAGGAAAAUUACUUUGUGGUGAUAGGGUGAUAAACGAUAGGGAGACGGGAUAGGGAAGAAGGAAAGAGAGAGAAAGAAAGAAAAAAGGAAAUAUGUUGGAGUUAUCAACAAGGAAUGAUAUCGAGGACGAGGACGUUUACCGUCUAAUGAAAAAAUAAUUUCCGAGAGUGAACUGAGAAAAAGAGAAAAAGUAAGAGAGAAAGAGAAAGAGAGAGUGUGAGAAGAUGAUGGAUAUAAAAUGGCACGAGACGGUAUUUUGAUGACGAGCAUCCACUCCGGUGUAAUCCAAGGUUAGUUUACACAUUGUUGUUCGUGUUUUUUUCUUCUAUUUUUUUUUCUUUUUUUUAUAUAUAUAUUUUUUUCUCUUUUUUUCUUGUUCCUUUUUAAUAAUAAGAGCAUGCUCGCCAGAGUCUUAAUUUGUUUUGCCUUCGAAGAGUAAUCUUUUUCAGUAUUCGCUUGUAUAUAUUCAUAUAUAUAUAUUCAUAUGUAUAUAUAUAUAUAUGUAUUACAUGUACGUACGUAUAUGUUAGAAAGAAAGAGGGAGAGAGAGAGAGAGAAAGAAAAUUUGUGUUCAAUGCACACUAGUCUCUAUGAACAUACAAACAAACGGCAUCAUGCAUGAUUUAGACGCACAUUAUCGAUACCGUCCAAUCUCUGUUAUUGCCGAUGCAUUAGAAGAAAAAUGAUAAUAAAAAGGAAAGAAGGGGUGACCGACUUCGAACGAAGUUUUCGUCAUCCUUCCUCCAUAUUUGCAACACUGAAACACGCGCGAACACAUUUUAUUAACGCAUAUCGUAUAAAUUAUUUUCCUUUCUUACGAUCGUUUAGAAAAAGCUUUACAAGUAGUUGGACAUCUAUCGUUACCACUACUACUACUACUAUUACUACUACUACUACUAUUACUACUACGACUACUAUAUUAUUACUAUUUACUAUUACUAAUAUUAUUAUUAUUAUUACAAGUAUCGCUAGGAAUUAUCACGUUGCUCCUGAUUGUUGCAUAACUUGAAUUUAGUGAAACUUGUUAAAUGCACGUUAAAUGCUAAUUAUUGUUAUAAAAUAUUUAGCCGCUCCGUUCGAACGGCGUUUGAUUAUUUUGUAAAGCAAAUACAUAUUUUUGUUAAUA